CAGUAGCCGCGGUAAAACGGAGGGGGCUAGCGUUGUUCGGAAUUACUGGGCGUAAAGCGCACGUAGGCGGCUUGGUAAGUUAGAGGUGAAAGCCUGGAGCUCAACUCCAGAAUUGCCUUUAAGACUGCCGAGCUAGUAGGUGAGAGAGGUAAGUGGAAUUCCGAGUGUAGAGGUGAAAUUCGUAGAUAUUCGGAAGAACACCAGUGGCGAAGGCGGCUUACUGGCUCAUUCUAGACGCUGAGGUGCGAAAGCGUGGGGAGCAAACAGGAUUAGAGACCCCGGUAGUCCCUGUCUCUUAUAC
rnacentral:rRNA from 1 species